rnacentral:rRNA from 1 species
UACGAAGGGGGGCUAGCGUUGCUCGGAAUCACUGGGCGUAAAGGGUGCGUAGGCGGGUCUUUAAGUCAGGGGUGAAAUCCUGGAGCUCAACUCCAGAACUGCCUUUGAUACUGAAGAUCUUGAGUUCGGGAGAGGUGAGUGGAACUGCGAGUGUAGAGGUGAAAUUCGUAGAUAUUCGCAAGAACACCAGUGGCGAAGGCGGCUCACUGGCCCGAUACUGACGCUGAGGCGCGAAAGCGUGGGGAGCAAACAGGG